UGCUCUGUGGCUUAGUCGGUUAUAGCGCCGUACUAGCGAUACGGAGUCGUGGGUGAGUUCGAAUCCCACCAAAACUA
rnacentral:tRNA from 1 species